rfam:Streptococcus pyogenes M1 GAS, complete genome.
UAAUGGACAUAGAAAAAGGAGAUUGCGCAAACAAUCUCCUGUGGUAACACCGUUUAAGACGGCAGCCUUACCGUAUUUGUUUAUAUU